rnacentral:rRNA from 1 species
UACGUAGGGGGCAAGCGUUGUCCGGAUUUAUUGGGCGUAAAGAGCGUGUAGGCGGCUUGGUAGGUCCGCUGUGAAAACUCGAGGCUCAACCUCGAGAUGUCGGCGGAAACCACUUGGCUAGAGUCCGGAAGAGGAGAGUGGAAUUCCCGGUGUAGCGGUGAAAUGCGUAGAUAUCGGGAAGAACACCUAUGGCGAAGGCAGCUCUCUGGGACGGUACUGACGCUGAGACGCGAAAGCGUGGGGAGCGAACAGG